rnacentral:ncRNA from 3 species
CAUUGCACUUGUCUCGGUCUGACA